UCCCAUAUGGUCUAGUGGUUAGGAUUUGGCGAUUUCACCGCCAAGGUCCGGGUUCAAUUCCCGAUGUGGGAA
rnacentral:tRNA from 1 species